AGUAGAGCGGCGGACGGGUGAGUAAUGCAUAGGAAUUUGCCCAGUAGUGGGGGAUAGCCCGGGGAAACCCGGAUUAAUACCGCAUACGUCCUACGGGAGAAAGCAGGGGAUCUUCGGACCUUGCGCUAUUGGAUGAGCCUAUGUCGGAUUAGCUUGUUGGUGAGGUAAUGGCUCACCAAGGCGACGAUCCGUAGCUGGUCUGAGAGGAUGAUCAGCCACACUGGGACUGAGACACGGCCCAGACUCCUACGGGAGGCAGCAGUGGGGAAUAUUGGACAAUGGGCGCAAGCCUGAUCCAGCCAUGCCGCGUGUGUGAAGAAGGCCUUCGGGUUGUAAAGCACUUUCAGUAGGGAGGAAGGCUUGUAGGUUAAUACCCUGCAAGAUUGACGUUACCUACAGAAGA
rnacentral:rRNA from 1 species